GAUGAACGCUGGCGGCGUGCCUAAUACAUGCAAGUCGAGCGAACAGACGAGGAGCUUGCUCCUCUGACGUUAGCGGCGGACGGGUGAGUAACACGUGGAUAACCUACCUAUAAGACUGGGAUAACUUCGGGAAACCGGAGCUAAUACCGGAUAAUAUAUUGAACCGCAUGGUUCAAUAGUGAAAGACGGUUUUGCUGUCACUUAUAGAUGGAUCCGCGCCGCAUUAGCUAGUUGGUAAGGUAACGGCUUACCAAGGCAACGAUGCGUAGCCGACCUGAGAGGGUGAUCGGCCAAACUGGAACUGAGACACGGUCCAGACUCCUACGGGAGGCAGCAGUAGGGAAUCUUACGCAAUGGGCGAAAGCAUGACGGAGCAAAGCCGCGUGAGUGAUGAAGGUCUUCGGAUCGUAAAACUCUGUUAUUAGGGAAGAAAAAAUGUGUAAGUAACUAUGCACGUCUUGACGGUACCUAAUCAGAAAGCCACGGCUAACUACGUG
rnacentral:rRNA from 1 species